GCUCUGAGCUCGUCGAGUGGAUAUGGAAUCCAGAUCAAGAAGAAACAACAUCCGGAUUUUUGGAGUUGCAGAGGGUGAAGAAGGAAGUUCUGUGAUGCGCUUC